GCACUUACUUGACAUGGGGAGAUACCAUGAUCACAAAGGUGAUUUUCCAAGGCCGAGGCUUAUCCAUUGAACUCUGGAUUUACUGAUCCGUGCGAUUUCCCCAAAUGUGGGAAACUUGAUUGCAUAAUUUGCGGUAGUGAAGGAAUGUGUUCGCAUUCUCCCCAU